rnacentral:rRNA from 1 species
UAGCGUAUAUUAAAGUUGUUGCAGUUAAAACGCUCGUAGUCGGAUUUCGGGGCGGGCCGACCGGUCUGCCGAUGGGUAUGCACUGGCCGGCGCGUCCUUCCUUCCGGAGACCGCGCCUACUCUUAACUGAGCGGGUGCGGGAGACGGAUCGUUUACUUUGAAAAAAUCAGAGUGUUUCAAGCAGGCAGCUCGCUCUUGCAUGGAUUAGCAUGGGAUAAUGAAAUAGGACUUUGGUGCUAUUUUGUUGGUUUCGAACACCGAAGUAAUGAUUAACAGGGACAGUCAGGGGCACUCGUAUUCCGCCGAGAGAGGUGAAAUUCUCAGACCAGCGGAAGACGAACCACUGCGAAAGCAUUUG